rnacentral:rRNA from 1 species
ACGAACGCUGGCGGCGUGCUUAACCCAUGCAAGUCGAACGGUGAAGCGCUUUCCUUUUUGGUUGGUGUGGAUGAGUGGCGAACGGGUGAGUAACACGUGAGUAACCUGCCCCCUUCUUCUGGAUAACCGCAUGAAAGUGUGGCUAAUACGGGAUAUUCUGCGCCUGCUGCAUGGUGGGUGUGGGAAAGAUUGUGCCUUUGGGGGUUUUCGGUGGGGGAUGGGCUCGCGGCCUAUCAGCUUGUUGGUGGGGUGAUGGCCUACCAAGGCGGUGACGGGUAGCCGGCCUGAGAGGGUGGACGGUCACACUGGGACUGAGACACGGCCCAGACUCCUACGGGAGGCAGCAGUGGGGAAUAUUGCACAAUGGGCGCAAGCCUGAUGCAGCGACGCCGCGUGAGGGAUGGAGGCCUUCGGGUUGUGAACCUCUUUCGCCAGUGAAGCAGGCCUGCUCCUUGUGGGUGGGUUGACGGUAGCUGGAUAAGAAGCGCCGGCUAACUACGUG